CACCCUCUCCCUUCUCCUCUAAAUAGAGUUCUCUUCUUCGCAUCUCCUCGCUUCUUCCGCUGAAAAAAAAAGGCUCGCUCAGAGAGCUGGAGAAAGGGAGAGACGUUGGAAGGGAAGAGGCAGCCAUGUUGUAUUCGCAGUCCCUUCUAUCAAGGAAGGGGCCUUUAUGCAACAUAUGGAUUGCUGCGUUUUGGUUCAAGAAGCUGAAGAAAGACCAGAUUGCCGACACUGAUAUCUCCUCUUCUGUUGAUAAGAUCAUGCCUGAGGUUCAAAUUUCAUAUAGAGUAUUGGCUCAGCUACUUCUGGGUAUUGUCAGGAUAUUUUCAAAGAAAGUUGACUAUCUUUACCAUGACUGCAAUGAGGCUUUGACUAAUAUAAGAAAAUCAUUUAUGGCUAGUCAACGGACUGUACAAAAUGAAGCAAUUGCCAAACCACGACAUACUGUUACACAAACCAAAAAGGCGAUAGAUGUGCCAGAUCAGAGAGUUAAUAGUGCAGAAGAAGCAAUGCCCACAGCACCAAUUGAAGCCAUGCGUGCACCACAUAAUCAUGUUACUAUCACUGUACCAGAAAGAUUUGAACUUGAUUCCUUUGAUCUGGAUAUCUCAGAUGAAUGUGAGACUGCCAAAUCACAUGAGCAGCCCAUAGCUCAAGAUGAGUGGACAGACGAAAGGUAUCAGACCUUUCUUCUAAAUGAGCAGUAUCACAGGGAAACAGUAACUCAUGCUGAGUUCAAUUCUGCUUGUUUUACUCCAAUGGAUGAUGUUCUUCCAUCUCACAUGAUGGAUAUUGAUUUCGAAAUUAGUGAAAUCUACAACUCGAACAGCCUAGGAGUAAGAGGGGAAAAAACUUGGGGAUAUUCUCAGCAUAUAGAAGAAAGUGGGAGUUUUGCAGGUUUAGUGGCCAUGGAAUCACUGGGCCCUAAUGUACACAAUGUGGAAUCAGAUCAUCAAGUGCAUCCUCUAAAGCCGCAAAAGAUGACAUCAUCAGAUCCUGACAAAAACAUAUGCGCUAAGGAAUCACUGAAACUGGUAGAGCCAACUAUGUUGCAUCAGACAGUAUCAUCAGAUCAUGAAAAAAAUGAAGUCCAUGUGGGGGAAGAUUCAAAAGCUACAAGUCCAUCCAAAACUUAUGAUAGAACAUACUUACCAUGUGAUUUAGGGCUUGCUUCACCAAAAUUUACAGUCAGAACUCCAGCUAAAAAGGAACGUCCUUUGAUGCUGAGAAAAAGAAAAAUUCUUUUUGAUGAAACAAUUGUGUUGUCUAAUGAGACUUUGAGGCAGGGAAUACAUGAUGCUAGUAGUUUAAUAUGCAAGCGGAGGAAAGCACCUCACACAUUUCUGGAUGCCUGGAAGGCUGACAUAAUCCCCAAUUUGCAGCAAACUUUUAUGGAUCCUCUGGUGCCCUGUACUUCUUCAGAGCUCAAAGCUCUCUUCCAGAACAAAUCAUCCAAUUAUUUAUCAGCAGAGAAGACACUUGCAGACUAUCACACUGAAUCAGGGAAGGCACAAAAUGGAAUACCCAACAAAUCUGCUGACAAUGAAGAAACAUGCCAGGAAAGAAUCAUUGAAACUCCAGCAACAGAAAGGUUUGCUGAGGAACCCAGAACUAGUAAAUCAUCUGAAAUUGAAAUCACCAAGCCAUCUUCUUUGGAAACAUCAGACACUGAAUUGGAUUUGAUGGAUAGGGAGCUUGGCUCUCAUGAAGAAAGCAAUAUAGGUCCAGAUAACAGAUGGUCAGUCCGAACUAGUUACUUCCCUUUUUUCCAGGGCCGUGGCACAGUACCUUCGCAGUAAGUUGCUAGAUAUUAAAAAUCGAGAACAAAAAGGAUUCUUAAGUUUGGCUCGAAUCCUAGAAGGGAAGACUAGAAGAAAAUGUGCUAGAUUCUUUUAUGAAACUCUGAUCCUAAAGAGCCGUGCGUGUAUAGAUGUUAAGCAGGACUGUCCUCAUGGUGACAUUAUCAUCUCAGCUGGCUCUCAACUUGAAGCGGAGUUUAACAAUCCAUAGUGUGCAGGAACAGGACGGAGGAUGUCUAUUUUGACGUCUGUGUAAAGUUUUUGUCAGCUGCCCGGCAAACAGCUCUGUAUAUAUUAUGGUUUUGGUUUAAAAUCAAACAGUUUCCGACAUGAAAAUUUCCGCUUUUUAAGAAAGCAGAUUCAGUUCAUAUAUUUUUCCAGAA